UAUUGGACAAUGGGGGCAACCUUGAUCCAGCCAUGCCGCGUGUGUGAAGAAGGUAUUCGGAUUGUAAAGCACUUUAAGUUGGGAGGAAGGGCUUUAGGUUAAUAACCUCAAGUUUUGACGUUACCAACAGAAUAAGCACCUGCUAAAUCUGUGCAUGCAGCCGCGGUAAUACAGAUGGUGAAAGCGUUAAUCUGAAUUAAUUGGCGUAAAGCGCGCGUAGGUGGUUCAUUAAGCUGGGUGUGAAAUCCGCAGGCUUAACCUGGGAACUGCUUUGAUAACUGCUGGGCUAGAGUACAGUAGAGGGUAGUGGAAUUUCCUGUGUAGCGGUGAAAUGCGUAGAUAUAGGAAGGAACACCAGUGGCGAAGGCGACUACCUGGACUGAUACUGACACUGAGGUGCGAAAGCGUGGGGAGCAAAC
rnacentral:rRNA from 1 species